rnacentral:lncRNA from 1 species
AGCAUUUUUAUUAAUUUCCUGCCCAGUGGCCAUGCACAGAGGACUGAUUCAUCCAUUAGUCCUUCCCCAGCCUGGACGCUAAAUCACUUGUCAAAUCAGGACCACAGUGUUGAAAAUUCUAGAGUGACAUAGUGGCAGAAAUAACGUUCAUCAUCCCUAAUUCCCCACCUUUGGAGAGCAUCUUACCCAUAUUUCCAUCUGAAAGAGUGAGACGACUCUGAGAAUGUAGAACUAUUAAGGACGAGGAAGCACAUCUAGCCUAAGGAUGGCAACAGGAUUGAUUGGUAGUACAGCACAUUGGACUAGAUCAGGAGUGGCACAAAUAAUGGCACCCUUGCAGCUACGUCGCCCUUUUCUGCAUCCUCGACAGACACUGCAAAUUAAUUACUCCAUUUCAUCCUGGGAACAACUAAAAAUCCUUCUGCAUAUAGCAUACCAUGAACUUACUACCAAUCUCCAAAGCUAAGGAAGAAUACAAGGAGAAUGGGUGGUCUGCAGCCAGAGAACAGGCCUUCCCUGGAGCCCAGUCAUAUUGGCACCAUGAUCCUGGAAUUCUCAGUCUCUAGAGAUGUGUGAAACAGAUUUUGUCGCUUCUAAGUCCCCCAGUCUUGGAGCCUUAUGAUAACAGCCCAGACUGAGACACGGGUAGUCUUUGCACUAUUCUAG